rnacentral:rRNA from 1 species
UACAGAGGUCUCAAGCGUUGUUCGGAUUCAUUGGCGUAAAGGGUGCGUAGGCGGCGCGGUAAGUCGGGUGUGAAAUCUCGGAGCUUAACUCCGAAACUGCAUUCGAUACUGCCGUGCUUGAGGACUGGAGAGGAGACUGGAAUUUACGGUGUAGCGGUGAAAUGCGUAGAUAUCGUAAGGAAGACCAGUGGCGAAGGCGGGUCUCUGGACAGUUCCUGACACUGAGGCACGAAGGCCAGGGGAGCAAACGGG